CUCUACAUCUCGACAUACAGAAGUAUUACUGGAAGGAUUCCUUCUCUUGCAUGUUUAUUAAGGAAUUCUAGCGUGGUGGCUUCUGGAGGGAGCUCUCAGAUCUGCACGAAGAGCUGUGCUGCCAGAAGGCUGAGCAUCCUGCUGCUACCCUGUGUGGGCUUAGGAGGAGAGCUGUGGAACAUUCUGCCGCAGAGACAAAGAGAGAGGCUGUGUUCCAGGAAGGAGAGACAAGCAGGACUAACAGAAGAGAACUUAACACAGGUGCUGCCUGUGUAUGAAUUCAGGCAUUGGUCUACCCACAAGACAUGUUCCAUGAUAUUGGAAGGACUUAGCGUCCAGGAACUUCAGCUGGUGACAUUCCUCAUUUCGUAUCUCAGAAAAGAUAAUGCAGAACCAAAAUACAAUCUUCAGUGGCUUCUGCUGCCUAAUGUUUGCAAAUGUGCAUGGACAAAUGGAGAUUUCCUGGCAUUAAUUUCCAGAUGUUGGCCUAUUUUCUCACAGAUGCCAAAAUACACGUCCAACAAGAUUGGACAAAAACUCCCAAUAAAACCAGUGCUUUGGCAAGUUUACAAUACAGCAGUUUUGAGUAAUAAUACAGCAACAAUGAGAAAGAGUUAAAAUAUCUGGUUUUACUAUUCAAGAACUCAUAAUCUUUUCCCCUUUGACUAUUGCUUACACAAGAAUAUUUUGGCUUAGUUUCAGCUCAGAGAUUAAGAAGUGACGGAAGUAAAGAAUUGAGAAAGGAAAAAUUCUUGCAGCGUUUCUCAAAAAAAUUAGAACUCAAAUAUAUGAGAGAAAGACUAAAUUCUUAAAAGCAAUAUCAGAACUACUAAAAAUCCAACUGUCAUGGCCCUGAGCAACCAGACCCUGUUGGGACAGGCUCAGAACACGGGGGAUGGACUAGGUGAUCUCCAGAGGUCUCUUCCACACUAAACCUCUUCUAUGCCUUUAUGCUAUACACGUAGCAUUUCAUGUCUGUCUUACAUCUGGAAAGAUGCCCAAACCCAGAAAGAAAAUAUACUUUGGGGAUGUAGUGUGGUUAAGUGCUGUACAGUAGCUACAAAUCAUAGCCCUCCAUUCCUGGCUGCAAACAUUGAGCUUUGUAAGGGAUCUUCUUCCUAAGAGCUAUUAGGGUGAGAUUAUAUGCAACACACGUAAUGAAGAGCUGGAUUCCCAUCUAGCAACAUUACAAGUUUUUCUUGUACUCCUAUGAGUGAAGCCUUGGGCAAAACUUCUUAAAUUCAUGCAGUGUUUUGUUAUAUUUGGCAAACCUGCAGGUGCUGAUGGCUACCUCCUUGCUUCUAUAACCCAGCACACUUUCUUAACUUUAUUGCUCUACACAGCCAGCCACACUUACAGAAGUG
rnacentral:lncRNA from 1 species